AUUGCUUUAUGUCUAUCAACUCACCAUACCAAGUGAUGCAUCCACUUCCUCCGGCACUAAUAUUAGCACUUGCAUAGGCUGUGCAGGAGCAAUUCUUCAGACACAACUCUUCACAGUCCUUCAAUCCCAUGCUCUUGUUCAUCCGAGCUGCACCCGUGUCGGGGAUCUUCACAUGACUUAAUGUGACAAACCCUUCACCACUGUUGCACACCUCUUCAUUUUUCUUCCUCAAACAUCCAUGAGAGCCAUCUCUUAAGAACCAUUGUCGGCUUAGCUUUGGUUCGUACCCUGGAAGACAACUGCAUUCGAAUUCAGCCAAAUUGAGCAGAUUGCAAUUGCUAAAUGCUCCACAAUGUUCAUAAUUGUCACAAGGGUCUUUAGGGGCAGACCAGAAUUGCACCCACUUUCGCUCACUCUCUUGCCAAGUUAACCGGUUCACGAUCCCAGAUUCAUUCAGGACCAUUCUUGAGAUUAUUGAACUGUCAUGUAUGCCAUAUGUCAAGGAAACCUCGGUAUCAUUGUCUACAUAACUAAGGCUGAAGAUGAAUCGCGGGCUCAUUUCUGGUACACCACUCCAACCAUGACCCGUCCAGGAUCCUGUCCGCCAAAUCCUGCUAGAGUUCUUGUACAAGAAAACUUGAGGUGUCCCAUUGAGCUCCAUUGUGUAACGAUACUCUCCAGUGCCUGGAUCGAUCAACGAUUUCCAUGAUGUCAGAAACCGGUUCAAUCCCG
rnacentral:misc_RNA from 1 species